rnacentral:rRNA from 1 species
UACAGAGGGUGCGAACGUUGCUCGGAAUUACUGGGCGUAAAGCGCAUGUAGGCGGGUCGGCAAGUCAGAUGUGAAAUCCCCGGGCUCAACCUGGGAACUGCAUCUGAAACUGCUGGUCUUGAGUACUGGAGAGGGUGGCGGAAUUCCUGGUGUAGAGGUGAAAUUCGUAGAUAUUAGGAAGAACACCAGUGGCGAAGGCGGCCCACUGGUCCGGUACUGACGCUGAGGUGCGAAAGCGUGGGGAGCAAACAGG